AUUGCCCUAGUAACGGCGAGUGAAGCGGCAACAGCUCAAAUUUGAAAGCUGGCUUAGGCCCGCAUUGUAAUUUGCAGAGGAUGCUUUUGGUGAGGUGCCUUCCGAGUUCCCUGGAACGGGACGCCAUAGAGGGUGAGAGCCCCGUAUGGAUGGACACCAAACCUGUGUAAAGCUCCUUCAACGAGUCGAGUAGUUUGGGAAUGCUGCUCAAAAUGGGAGGUAAAUCUCUUCUAAAGCUAAAUACCGGCCAGAGACCGAUAGCGCACAAGUAGAGUGAUCGAAAGAUGAAAAGCACCUUGAAAAGGGGGUUAAACAGUACGUGAAAUUGUUGAAAGGGAAGCGCUUGUGACCAGACUUGCGCCGGGCAGCUCAUCAGGGGUUCUCCCCUGUGCACUCUGCCCGGCUCAGGCCAGCAUCGGUUCUCGUGGGAGGAUAAGAACAGUAGGAAUGUGGCCCCCUUCCGGGGGGGUGUUAUAGCCUAUUGUACGAUACUCUCGUGGGGACCGAGGUUCGCGCUCCGCAAGGAUGCUGGCGUAAUGGUCAUCAGCGACCCGUCUUGAAACACGGACCAAGGAGUCGUCCAUUAGAGCGAGCGUUUGGGUGUAAAACCCGCACGCGUAAUGAAAGUGAACGCAGGUGAGAGCUUCGGCGCAUCAUCGACCGAUCCUGAUGUCUUCGGAUGGAUUUGAGUAAGAGUUUUAACGGACGGACCCGAAAGACAGUGAACUAUGCUUGUAUAGGGUGAAGCCAGAGGAAACUCUGGUGGAGGCUCGCAGCGGUUCUGACGUGCAAAUCGAUCGUCAAAUAUGAGCA
rnacentral:rRNA from 1 species